rnacentral:rRNA from 1 species
AUUGAACGCUGGCGGCAGGCCUAACACAUGCAAGUCGAGCGGAGCGGCGGACGGGUGAGUAAUGCCUAGGAAUCUGCCUGGUAGUGGGGGAUAACGUCCGGAAACGGGCGCUAAUAACGCAUAAUAGCAGAUGAGCCGAGGUCGGAUUUGCUAGUGGGCGGGGGAAAGGCCCAACAAGGCGACGAUCCGUAGCUGGUCUGAGAGGAUGAUCAGCCACACUGGAACUGAGUCACGGUCCAGACUCCUACGGGAGGCAGCAGUGGGGAAUAUUGGACAAUGGGCGCAAGCCUGAUCCAGCCAUACCGCGUGGGUGAAGAAGGCCUUCGGGUUGUAAAGCCCUUUUGUUGGGAAAGCGGUACCCAAAGAAUAAGCACCGGCUAACUUCGUGCCAGCCGCCGCGGUAAUAC